rfam:Aedes albopictus isolate Foshan contig53659, whole genome shotgun sequence.
CAAACGGUUCUUUUCAGGACCAUCGAAAAUGAGAGUUAAAUGGAUA